rnacentral:rRNA from 1 species
AUUGAACGCUGGCGGCAGGCCUAACACAUGCAAGUCGAGCGGAUGAAGGGAGCUUGCUCCUGGAUUCAGCGGCGGACGGGUGAGUAAUGCCUAGGAAUCUGCCUGGUAGUGGGGGAUAACGUCCGGAAACGGGCGCUAAUACCGCAUACGUCCUGAGGGAGAAAGUGGGGGAUCUUCGGACCUCACGCUAUCAGAUGAGCCUAGGUCGGAUUAGCUAGUUGGUGGGGUAAAGGCCUACCAAGGCGACGAUCCGUAACUGGUCUGAGAGGAUGAUCAGUCACACUGGAACUGAGACACGGUCCAGACUCCUACGGGAGGCAGCAGUAGGGAAUAUUGGGCAAUGGGCGAAAGCCUGACGCAGCAAUGCCGCGUGUGUGAAGAAGGUCUUCGGAUUGUAAAGCACUUUAAGUUGGGAGGAAGGGCAGUAAGUUAAUACCUUGCUGUCUUGACGUUACCAACAGAAUAAGCACCGGCUAACUUCGUG